UACAGAGGUCUCAAGCGUUGUUCGGAAUCAUUGGGCGUAAAGGGCGCGUAGGUGGUUCUGUAUGUCUACCGUGAAAGCGUACGGCUCAACCGUAUUUUGUCGGUAGAAACUGCAGGACUUGAGGCUGGGAGGGGCUGGUGGAAUUCCCUGUGUAGCGGUGAAAUGCGCAGAUAUCGGGAGGAACACCAAUGGCGAAGGCAGCUUGCUGGGACGGUACUGACGCUGAGGCGGCGAAAGCGGUGGGGAGCAAACAGG
rnacentral:rRNA from 1 species